rnacentral:rRNA from 1 species
GAUGAACGCUGGCGGCGUGCCUAAUACAUGCAAGCCGAGCGAACAGACGAGGAGCUUGCUCCUCUGACGUUAGCGGCGGACGGGUGAGUAACACGUGGAUAACCUACCUAUAAGACUGGGAUAACUUCGGGAAACCGGAGCUAAUACCGGAUAAUAUAUUGAACCGCAUGGUUCAAUAGUGAAAGACGGUUUUGCUGUCACUUAUAGAUGGAUCCGCGCCGCAUUAGCUAGUUGGUAAGGUAACGGCUUACCAAGGCAACGAUGCGUAGCCGACCUGAGAGGGUGAUCGGCCACACUGGAACGGAGACACGGUCCAGACUCCUACGGGAGGCAGCAGUAGGGAAUCUUCCGCAAUGGGCGAAAGCCUGACGGAGCAACGCCGCGUGAGUGAUGAAGGUCUUCGGAUCGUAAAACUCUGUUAUUAGGGAAGAACAAAUGUGUAAGUAACUAUGCACGUCUUGACGGUACCUAAUCAGAAAGCCACGGCUAACUACGUG